GAUGUUGAAAAGAUAGAAGUGCCUACUUUUUUAAUUUCUUUUUUCUUUUUCACAGCAUAACUGAUGUGUCUUGCUGUUGCUGGAGAUUCUCCAUGUCUGAGCAGUUUUACUGUCCAGCUUGUCAGUGACACCCCUGAUCACAGUCUUCACAUUUGUGUCAGCCAAGAUUCAUGAGAGUGAGGAAGAGACAGACUGCCAAUUUAGAGUGUGCAGAAGCUUAGAGGCUGAACUGACCUUGCACAAACUUAGCCAACCUGAGCAAUCCAGAUGGGUGCUUCAUUAUUUAAGUGAUACUGCACUGUUAAGCUCCUUCAGAAAUGGACACGCCAAACCAACGUCUGAUCCUCAGAUCCUUAUCUCCUGUAAGUAGAAAAUGUUGUACAGAGAGCUGAUUCCAUUGGCUCUAGGGAGAUUCACAUAGAUUUGAAAUGUUAAUCAAUGCAGCUCAG
rnacentral:lncRNA from 1 species